AGACUGAGCAAAUUUCUAUUCAAAAAUUUUGUUAGAAAACGAUAUUCGAUCAUGUAGCAACCGAAAACGUCUGGAAGAGACAAAGCCUUAGGAUGAUGCUGGAACUGGAUUUCCUACACUUCAUUACCGCGAUUCAGAUAAGAUAGAUGGAACUAAUUUCGGGUAUGAAGAUGGAAUUCACUUAGGCUUCGGAGGAACGAAGUAGCUAGAGAUUAUGUCGACUGAAAGGAGAGGGAGAGGUACGUAGUGAACGAAGUCGUUUCACUAUGUGAAACUCAUUCGACCUACGGGAGAGGUACGUAGUGAACGUAGUGAACGAAGUACCUAGGUACAUGCA
rnacentral:lncRNA from 1 species